GUUGGAGGUGCAUGGUGAAACACCCCCGAUGACUAUGUGGGUUGAGACCGAUGGACCUUGUGUUCCUUACCAUCUCCAUUUUGUUGCCCUGCCUGCUUCAGAUUUGAGACAGACAUCGCAUGCGAACAUAUUUUGAUUUUUAACAAUGUUCCGGCGAAGCAGGUUUCUUUCCUUCCCUAUGGUAAUCGGUGCAGUCAUUAUUGGUGUUGUUUCUGGGAAGGCAAUAUUUGGACCCCCACUUGAUGAGUAUUGGAAAAAGAAGCAUCAAGAAGAGAUAACUGCAGCCGCUACUAAGGAGAAUGACUCAACUCCAACUUAGUUCACCAUCAAGUAACAACAUCAUCGUAUUUUUCUCUUUCUUAGGACUAAAGAUAAGGAUUGAUAGGCCACAUUUGAAUUCAAUCUUGAAAGAGUCACUGCAUUAACUUUGCUAGGGAUUUUUGUUGUAUAAGCAGUCUGAACUCUUUAGUCUUUCCAAUGUAAGGAGUGAGUUUUGAUUCUCUUUCCCUGUCUUUUACUAUCAAGCUAGAUUUGUAGAAAUUCUCUGUAUAAUUUUUUUUUCAGCUACCAUUGGGUUACAAGCAUUCAUAUUAAGCAGUUGCCAUCAAUGUAAAAUUGUUAUUCUCUAAUAAAACAAGUUGUCCUUUGAACUGCA
rnacentral:sRNA from 1 species